UGACCCUUAUUAAGCCGAGGGUCACCUAGCCAACUGACGUUGUUAGUGAAUACACAUUGUUCACACUUUAUAUAGCCAAUCACAAUUAUUGUGGUUGGCUUUUUUUAU
rnacentral:sRNA from 1 species